AUGCUGGCGAGUACAUAGGUUUUAUAGGUGUGUCGAAUUCAUGGCUAGUUUAAGUGUUGCAAUACUUUAUUAAAAACUUUGUUUUGAAAAGAGUAUAAUAUUGCAACUUAAUUGACCAACUCGAAUCAAGCGGGUUAUAGUUUAUAAAACCUCGUAGCCAUGAUUCUUAACCCAAAACCUUUGCUUUAGAACACCAACUUGUAAAACAUCUUGCAAUAACUCGUUAAAAGCUCGUAUAGUUUAUACCUCUUAGAAAAACAUCGUUGUGUGAUAUCGUUUCAAAAUCGUUUACCCAAGUGAACUAAAUAACGCCACGAUAUGUAAUAUGAUGAAAACACUUAUAUAUAAGAAGUACCAACGGCGUAUCUACCAUGUUUUCACCACAUUACACCCUCGUCCCCAAAUCGUUUACUCGUUUCACCUCGUGUAUCUCGUUUCAAAUCGUUUAACUCGUCUCAAAAUCUGAAACUACUUUUGGUCGUCUCGCUAACAACAUUCAAACCUGUGUGACUCGAUUAUUGUUCAACUCGUUUUCGCAUUAACAAACCUCCAAAGGGUAAGUUAAAAAUUAUCAGAUUCAGUCGUUACCCACAACCCCCACACAUAACCAUGGGUGUAGUGCAAUAACGGGAUUUGUCAGAUCCUAUGGUACCAUAACCUAAUACUGGUCGGCUUGAUCAAUGUUAAUGAAUGUCAUUCGUUAUGUAAUUACAACCAACAAGUCGUGUACACCUUAUCGAAAUCGUUAGUAGUUUUGUAUAAACCACCUUAAU
rnacentral:lncRNA from 1 species